rnacentral:rRNA from 1 species
CUACUAGGGUUUCUAAUCCUGUUUGCUCCCCACGCUUUCGUGUCUCAGCGUCAGUACUCGUCCAGUUGGCCGCCUUCGCCACCGGUGUUCCUCUCGAUAUCUACGAAUUUCACCUCUACACCGAGAAUUCCACCAACCUCUCCGGUACUCAAGCCACGCAGUUUCGGGUGCACUUCCCGGGUUGAGCCCGGGGAUUUCACAUCCGACUUGCGUAGCAGCCUACACACGCUUUACGCCCAGUAAUUCCGAACAACGUUUGCACCCUCUGUCUUACCGCGGCUGCUGGCAC